GAAAACCCCUCUAAGAUCCCUUAUAAGGCCAUCUCACUUGCCACUGUGCUGUUUUUGAUUGGCACCUUUCUCAUUAUUAUAGGCUCCCUCAUGCUGUCAGGCUACAUCAGCAAAGGCGGGGCAGACCGGGCCGUUCCAGUCCUGAUCAUUGGCAUUCUGGUAUUCCUACCCGUAUUUUACCACCUGCGCAUCCCUUACUAUGCAUCCAAAGGCUACCGUGGUUACUCCUAUGAUGACAUUCCAGACUUUGAUGACUAGC
rnacentral:lncRNA from 1 species